rnacentral:rRNA from 1 species
AGAGUUUGAUCCUGGCUCAGGAUGAACGCUAGCGACAGGCCUAACACAUGCAAGUCGUACGAGAAAGUUCCCUUCGGGGAGCGAGUAAAGUGGCGGACGGGUGAGUAACACGUAAGAACCUGCCCUUUGGCUUGGGAUAACAUCGCGAAAGUGGUGCUAAUACCGGAUAAAGUCUAAGGACCAAAGAGGGCGAAAGCUCUCACCAGAGGAGGGGCUUGCGGCCCAUUAGCUAGUUGGUGAGGUAAUGGCCCACCAAGGCGACGAUGGGUAGCCGACCUGAGAGGGUGUACGGCCACACUGGAACUGAGAUACGGUCCAGACUCCUACGGGAGGCAGCAGUGGGGAAUAUUGGUCAAUGGGCGAAAGCCUGAACCAGCAAUGCCGUGUGGGUGAUGAAGCUUUUUGGAGUGUAAAACCCUUUUAUGAGGGAAGAAGGUAAUUCGGUUAAUACCCGGAUUGCUUGACGGUACCUCAUGAAUAAGCCCCGGCUAACUCCGUGCCAGCAGCCGCGGUAAUA